GCCAAUGAUGAAGAUCUUUCUUUUGACUGAAAUGCAGAAUUUUGCAUUUAUUUGUUGAUACUCAACACUAGGACGGUCUGAGGC